CUACCUGUCAGAUAUAUAACGUCAUAGGUAAGGGUAUUUGGAAAUACUUGAUGACCUGCGUGACAUAAGUAGUGUCGUCGAAUGUUUGGAACAGUAUUACAGGAAAAACAGACGUUUUUUGUUGUUUUAUUUAAGAUCUACACAGAAAAAUGAAGAGGAUCAACGUUGCUAGUUUGAUCCUAUUUAUCUUGGUAUUGUUUCUAAGUUCAGUGACAGAAGCUGUCCGAAUACGUACCCGUUACUACACAACAUACUACUACCGUUACUAUUACUAUGGAUAUACCACAAGUACCGUUUCCGCCGGAGUGAUAGCAGGCAUUGUGAUUGGUUGCUUGGUGGGCGUUGCCGUAUUGGUGGGCGCCAUAAUUCUUUGCUGUGUUUGUUGCUGUGGUCGAGGAAGGGGCAGGCCACAAGGGGGACAGGUCAUACAAACGCAGAGCGGCACCACAGUAUCCACCGUCGCUAGUAACGUGGCCUACUAUCCAACUGCACCAGGAAGUGUGUUACAUCCGCCACCGGUCAAUCAUGAGUACUCUGCCCCUCCACCCUCUUAUAAUCAGGUGACUUCUGAUCAUGAGGGCAGCGUGAACUUGGGGUUCGAGGACAACAAACAAACAGUGUACCACCCGCCAAGUUAGAUAGAAUAUGCUGACAUAUACUAGUAUAGUGUAUGGUAGAUGGUACACAUGUACACAAAUUAAUGAAAUUGAUAAACUGGGUGAUAGGAGCCUUAUUUUGUGUAAAUUCGAGAAAUCGACAACGGAAAGAGAACAUCUGGAAAUAUGUAUUAGCAAAAUACGUAGUCAUAAUCGCUGCUGAGCCAGAUAUUAACUUAAAAAAAAAAAAAAAAAAAUAUAUAUAUAUAUAUAUAUAUCAACUUUAUUUUUUCUAUUUUUUACUAUUGGCUUUAAUAUGAUAAUUAAAAAUGAGUAUGUCUAUUGGAGAAUGCUUCCAAUAUCUCUGUACAUGACCGACAACUUGAAUGUUUGGGUGUUUACAUGUUGUAACAUGUGUAUAUAAUCUGAUUUGAAUAUAUAUUACUUUAGUCCAUUACAUAAAACAUGAUAUUAUUCGAUUUACCUUUACGAAUCAUUGCUCAGUUUUUUGGUUUUAUUAAUCCUGGUAGUCUCAAGAACAAAAACUUAUUUUCUAAUUGGUGAUAAACCAAUACCUUCUUUGCUUUAAACAUUCAGUUCAAAACGUGUCUAUUUAUAGCUUUCAAAUGGAAUAAAAAGGAAUGAUAGUUUUUUCCUGAGCAUAGUAAAAAAUCGUUUUUGAAUUUGCAAAUUUAAAAUAUUGCAUGCCAAAAAGAUCGAUUUUUGUUUACCAAUAUAUUGGUUGAACAAUUCGUAUGCAAAUUUCAAAUUGUGACGUACAACCAACGACCCACGCUAUACCGGGCCUUUGUUUUUGUUUUUAUGAUUAGCACAUGAAGGAUGUUUCAUGUAUGGCUAGUGUGAAUAAUUACUGGUAUGUAUGCAAUAUAUUGUUGAUAAGUAAACAGUCGUGAUUUCUUUAAAAAAAACCGGACCAAUCGUUGUGCUGUAUUGGAACGAACUACUACCAGUUUAACAAAAAUGAACCAGUUUUUGCAGAGAGGUUCCAGUUUAAUUUGUACUUUCCAAUGAUCUUUUCUUUGCCCAUUUUUAAGCGCCAAAUGACAGAAACUUGUAUUUUUAUUAUCUGGUUGGUUCAUCCACAAACACGUCCGCUACCAACCCAUAUAUUGAAUUCCAAUAAUAUUUACCUCUUCACUUAUCUUGCAUAUAUGAUAGAGAUGUAUAUAUGUCACAAUCGAAAGCUACUUAUGUAUCUAUAAUUGUUGUAUGCCAAUAGCAGAGAGGAUUUAGAUAGGCCUGCCUGCGAUGUCUUCCUUGUUUGCAGGUAACCUAUGUGUUGGGACAUAGAAAGCAAGCCUAGAUGAGACCUUGAUUUUGAUAUAUUUAAUAUAUUAUGUUCAUAUCUUUUAAUCUCAUUCUUAAUUGUCAAACUUAUGAUUGCACAUGUAAAUUUCCAAUUUAUAAUAGUUGGGGAUAAUUUAGAAUUUAUUUCAUUUUUGAAUCUGAAUACUGACUAUUCGCAUGUUAUUCAGAACUUACCAAUUAAAUUGUGUGCUUACUUUAAAUAAUGGUUUUGGUUAUAUCAACUAUAUGCGUGUAUAAUAGUGCAGAUAUUUCUUGCCUGACUGUUAGACACUUGGUGUGUACUGUAUAUGAACUGUAAGCGCGUUAGAGUUAGUUCAUUCAAUAUACAGGGUCCUACGUACAUUUGUAUAUAGAUGUCUCAUUAUUGCAUGUCACAACAAAUGACUAAAUAAUGAUGAAUUAUUUUUACGAACAGAAAGUUUACAAGUUUUAUUGAUUUGGAGCAUUCUUUUAAUAAGACGUUUUUGUUUUGGAAUUUGAUAUUAUAACAUAUAAAACGUCAAUUUAAGUUGAUUAUGUUUUAAAGUGAUAUAAUUUUAGGCAUCUUCCAAGAUUUACAUUCUCGAAAAAAACACAUAUUUUCCCUGCACCGCUGGAGUAUGUCAUGAUAAAAUCGAAUUCCCUGUACGUGCCACCUUGCAGUAAACCAAUAUAAUCCUUUGAUAUACAUCGCGCGGCAGCAAAACGGUAAAAUUGACCAAAUGGCUCCAAUUGCAGGAUUAAGCAAUCUAAGCCAACCUCCAACUCUUGGUUGAAAAACAUUGGGAGCGAUUUCCCAGAAGGAGACAGAAAGGCCAAUAGUGGUUUUUUUUGUUUUGUAUUUUAAUUUAUUUGAAUAAAAGCUUACCUCAUGCCUUCAAUUUUAUCAUGACAUAUUCCAUGGGUGGAGACAAUAUAUGUGCAUCAAGAGAGGAAAGCUUAUACAUGUAUAUCGAUAAUGAAAUAAGACAAUAUUGUCCUCUUCACAAGAGUCUUAUCAUAUCUGAAACAAGUUGGAGGUCUGAAAACUCCAAGGAAUCAGUGAAAACUCCGGGCAUGUGUAAGUGCAGUGUAUUCUCAAGUGUCAUACAAACAAAGUCAUAGAUCAAAACUCACUUACUACUGUUUUUUGUAUUAAAUUGUUUUGUAAAAACGAGAAAGAGAAGACCCUCGGUCAUAAUAAAAAAGAAAGUCAUUAAGUGACAGAAUAGUGGAAUAAAAUGAAUAUUUUGUA
rnacentral:misc_RNA from 1 species